rnacentral:lncRNA from 10 species
AUCCCAGAACACCAAGGACAGUCCAGAUACCUCCAGGCUCUCCUCAGUAAUGGACGGAAGCAGUGGUGCAGAUAAUCUGCCCAAAUGGCGGGCUCUGGCAUCCGGUGCAGUCUUGCUCGUCAUCUCCGCUUCCCUCUGCUUCUUCCCAGGCUCCAGUUCUCCCUGGAUUCCAGGAACACCAUCUCCUUCCUCGUCCCUUCCAUCCCAGGGAAGGUUUACACUGAAAAUUUUUUGUGAUGAAAAGAUUUGAAGAAGAUGACAGGAGAUGGAGAAGCACCAGCUGAUCUGCAGACUCCAAGGAGGUCCCAGGAAGAGGUGUCAUCCACUAAGAUCUUCUGGGACAGGAAAGCCCUGUGAUACCUCUU